rnacentral:lncRNA from 1 species
AGGUCUCAGCUGGGCACUCCUGAGCUCUGUGCUGCAACCUUGGGGCAUUGGGCUCUGUCUUUCGGCCCCUCGGGGUCAGACCCCUGCUGUGUUGGGGGAUCCGAAGUGCUCCCAAGCUGCCUGGAAAGCAUUCAGGCGGGGUCGCUAGCAAGAACUCAGGCUGGGCAGCGGAGGCGGCACAGUGCACACACUCCUGCAGGAACAACCAGACAGGGGCUUUGGGAGGGGCUGCGUGCAGGGGGUCCCGCAGAACAUAUGCGCCCCAGUCCCGCAGGAAGGACCGCCCUGCUCUCUCUUGGCUCACUGGUGGGGACAGCACUUCCUGGAAUAACGUUGCUUUGGAUUUAACAACAGUUGGGCAAAGGAGGUCGGUAUACAGAUACAGGACAAGAAGAGUGGUGUCAAAGGGAGGCUAAAUCAUUGGUUCUGGCUUCAUCUAAGGAAUUCUUAUGAGAAAUCGAGGGAGAGACUGUCCUGGGAAGUCUGAUGAAACAUGCAUGAGUCUUCGUUGAAACCGUGGGAGGAAGAAGAGUUUUACCAAUCACCAGUGCUGAAGAAAUCUCUCCUUUCUGGGCAGGAUGAGGGAAUCACUAAAUGACGA